CAGAGGGUGCGAGCGUUGUUCGGAAUUACUGGGCGUAAAGCGCGCGCAGGCGGCCUUUUAAGUCUACCCGUGAAAUGCCGGGGCUCAACUCCGUGCACGCCGGGGGAUACUGGGAGGCUGGAGACAUGUAGAGGCAAGCGGAAUUCCGGGUGUAGCGGUGGAAUGUGUAGAGAUCCGGAAGAACACCUGAGGCGAAGGCGGCUUGCUGGGCAUGAUCUGACGCUGAGGCGCGAAAAGCGUGGGGAGCAAAACAGGAUUAGAUACCCCUGGUAGUCCACGCCGUAAACGAUGGGCACUAGACGCGGGUGGGAUCGACCCCUUCCGUGUCGCAGCUAACGCGAUAACGUGCCCCCGCUGGGGAUACGGCCGCAAGGCUG
rnacentral:rRNA from 1 species